UACGUAGGGGGCUAGCGUUGUCCGGAAUCAUUGGGCGUAAAGCGCGCGUAGGCGGCCUAGAUAAGUCCGGUGUGAAAGUCACAGGCUCAACCUGUGAAUGCCGCUGGAAACUGUCGUGGCUCGAAGUUCCGGGAGGGGCGAGUGGAAUUCCUGGUGUAGCGGUGAAAUGCGCAGAUAUCAGGAGGAACACCAAUGGCGAAGGCAGCUCGCUGGAACGGUACUGACGCUGAGGCGCGAAAGCGUGGGGAGCGAACAGG
rnacentral:rRNA from 1 species